CUUACGAAAAAACAUGCUAAUGGGUUCUAAGAAAACUGAGACGUGGUCGAAGAGCAGAGCACUGGAGAGAGGCAUAUGGCAAUGGUCAUGGUCCGGGACAUGAAUGAACUGGAAUCAAUUUGGUGUCUGUGUGGACAAACGACUAUGGAGGACAAAGAAGCAAGGAGGCAAUUACAGAGACAGAGUUUACUAAAUGGAACAAAGUCUAAAUUAUAUUACAAUACAUAAUAGUAUAGUUAUAAUAUAGAACAAUAUCUAUAUUUACUGAAGUUACUGUCUUAAUAUGAAAAUGUCCUUAAUGAACAGACAAAUCAUAUUAAUUACCAUGCACAUAAAUUCAUGCUUUUCUAUAAGCAUUGAACUCAAAAAGUUCAAUUGUUUAUUUUAAUCACUGUGUUUAUAUAUGCUGAUCAUUUUCUAUAUGCAAGAGUUACUCAAGUAGUUUCUGGAUUUCUCCCAGAGUGAACUGAUCCAUGUGUAGCUGUAUUCUUGGCGCAUCCAUAGGGAAAGGGAAUUCUAGGAGCCUCCUGUGUUGCCAUCUUGGUGACAUCUGUGUUCAGUGCAUAUCUUUAGCC